CGACUCUCGGCAACGGAUAUCUCGGCUCUCGCAUCGAUGAAGAACGUAACGAACUGCGAUACUUGGUGUGAAUUGCAGAAUCCCGUGAACCAUCGAGUCUUUGAACGCAAGUUGCGCCCGAAGCCAUUUGGUCGAGGGCACGUUUGCCUGGGUGUCACAC
rnacentral:rRNA from 1 species